AUGGCCUUCGACUCCAACCAUGAGCGCCUCCGGGCCCUCAAGGCGUUCGAUGAAACAAAGGCCGGCGUCAAAGGCCUGGUCGACGCUGGCAUCACCGCCAUCCCGGCCAUCUUCCACUACCCUCCCGAGUCCUUCGCCCCAUUGGCGCCUUUCUCCACCGAUGUUGCCAUCCCAGUCAUCGACCUCUCGGGCCAACGAUCGGAGGUGGUCAGCAAGGUGAAAGCGGCUAUGGAGAAACUGGGCUUCUUCCUGGUGGUGAACCAUGGUGUGCCAGAGGCAGCCAUGUCGAACAUGCUGUCGGUGGUGCGGGGCUUUCACGAGGAGCCUGUAGAGGCCAAGGAGCUCUACUACACGCGGGAUGAGGAGAGACACGUCAAGUACAGCGGCAACGCGGACCUGUUCCGGUCACCGGCAGCCAAGUGGCGUGACACCAUGUACAUCAACGACGCCGGCCGGCUGGCAGAAGAGAUCCUGCCACCGGUGUGCAGGGGCGUCGUGCCGGAGUACACGAGGCUCAUGAGGCAGCUGGGCCGCUUCCUCUUCGGGAUAGUGUCUGAGGCUCUGGGGUUGCAGCGUGGAUACAUGGAGGAGGAGACGGGUUGCCUAGAGGCAUUGCUUCUCGGCUGCCACUACUACCCUGCGUGCCCGGAGCCGCACCUCACGCUGGGCGCCGUCAAGCACUCCGACGCCAGCUUCCUCACCGUGGUGCUCAGGCCCCAGAUUGUCGGUGGUGUGCUUCUUCAGGGCGAAUAUGGCAACGUUGUGUGCGCCGGUGGUCGUCGACGGGAGCGGUCCACCACGGUACAGGACUAUCAAGGCAGAGCAGCUGUUCGGUUCGUCCAGGACAACGCUCAAGUCGGCCUCAUCAUCUCAAACUGCGCUCGACUGCUUGAGGCUCUAAUGAAUACUAUAUAA
rnacentral:rRNA from 1 species